rnacentral:rRNA from 1 species
AGAGUUUGAUCAUGGCUCAGAAUGAACGCUGGCGGCGUGCCUAACACAUGCAAGUCGAGCGAGAAAGCCCUUCGGGGUGAGUAAAGCGGCGGACGGUUGAGUAACACGUGAGAAUCUGCCCUUUAGUGAAGAAUACCUCGGAGAAAUCCGAGUUAAUACUGCAUAAGUCCCUUCGGGGAGAAAGAUGGCCUCUUUGCUGU